GUAUAAGCAAUUAUACGGCGAAACUGCGAAUGGCUCAUUAUAUAAGUUAUCGUUUAUUUGAUAAUACUUUACUACUUGGAUAACCGUGGUAAUUCUAGAGCUAAUACAUGCUAAAAAUCCCGACUUCGGAAGGGUUGUAUUUAUUAGAUUAAAAACCAAUGCCCUCUGGGCUCUCUGGUGAAUCAUAAUAACUUGUCGAAUCGCAAGGCCUUGUGCCGGCGAUGGCUCAUUCAAAUUUCUUCCCUAUCAACUUUCGAUGUUUGGGUAUUGGCCAAACAUGGUGGCAACGGGUAACGGAGGGUUAGGGCUCGACCCCGGAGAAGGAGCCUGAGAAACGGCUACUACAUCCAAGGAAGGCAGCAGGCGCGCAAAUUACCCAAUCCCGACACGGGGAGGUAGUGACAAUAAAUACUGAUACAGGGCUCUUAUGGGUCUUGUAAUCGGAAUGAGUACAAUUUAAAUCCCUUAACGAGGAACAAUUGGAGGGCAAGUCUGGUGCCAGCAGCCGCGGUAAUUCCAGCUCCAAUAGCGUAUAUUAAAGUUGUUGUGGUUAAAAAGCUCGUAGUUGAACCUUGGGCCUGGCUGGCCGGUCCGCCUCACCGCGUGCACUGGUCCGGCCGGGCCUUUCCCUCUGUGGAACCUCAUGCCCUUCACUGGGUGUGACGGGGAAACAGGACUUUUACUUUGAAAAAAUUAGAGUGCUCCAGGCAGGCCUAUGCUCGAAUACAUUAGCAUGGAAUAAUAAAAUAGGACGUGUGGUUCUAUUUUGUUGGUUUCUAGGACCGCCGUAAUGAUUAAUAGGGACAGUCGGGGGCAUCAGUAUUCAAUUGUCAGAGGUGAAAUUCUUGGAUUUAUUGAAGACUAACUACUGCGAAAGCAUUUGCCAAGGAUGUUUUCAUUAAUCAGGAACGAAAGUUAGGGGAUCGAAGACGAUCAGAUACCGUCGUAGUCUUAACCAUAAACUAUGCCGACUAGGGAUCGGACGAUGUUAUAUUCUUGACGCGUUCGGCACCUUACGAGAAAUCAAAGUGCUUGGGCUCCAGGGGGAGUAUGGUCGCAAGGCUGAAACUUAAAGAAA
rnacentral:rRNA from 1 species